AAAAAAAAAAAAAAAAAAAAAAUUGGUUACCAGUGUCAUCUGGAGAAAGACUAUAAAAUUGUCCAAGCCAAACCAGAAAAUACUUGCUGGUUGGCUGCUCUUUGGGGUGGUUUGUACUGUGCACAUCUCCAUUCAUUUUUUAAUGUUGUCAUCACACCAUUGUCAGGAUUUGAGGAAUGUCUCAUGUAGUUUUGUUCCCAUUUGCUUCAAAGGAAACUGGGGCUCAGGGAGUUUGGGUGACUCAGGCAGAUCCGCAUAGCUACCAAGUAGCAGAAAUAAACUUACACCUGGGUUCCAGGUCUCCUGUAUACGCUGCAGCUGUCUUCUCUUGAGAACCUACCACUCGUAUGGCCCAGAGGGUCUGCUUUCUGCUUUGUGGUAUGGUUCCUCUGUGUGUGGUUCCUAGGAAAUAAAGACGCAGGUUUCAAACAUUUUUGCUCCCAGUCCUAUCAAAAGAAUUUUGGAAAACUGUAUCCCCUUAAUAUUUCUUUUUUUUUUGGCCGCCCCACAGUGUAUGGAAUCCCCAGGCCAGGGAUCAGAUCUGAGCCGCAUUUGCAUCCUAUACCGCAGCUGUGGCAACGCUAAAUCCUUAACCCACUCUGCUGGGCUGGGGAUCAACCUGUGUCCUGGCACUGCAGAACACUGCUCAUCUCGUUUCACCACAGCAGGUACUCCCCCUUGCACAUUUAAAAAUUCACACAUAAUGGAGUUCCCUGGUGGCCUAGUGGUUAAGGAUCCAGUGUUGUCACUGCUGUGGCUCAGGUUCAAUCCCUGGCCUGGGAAUUUCCACAUGCUGUGGGCUUGGCCAAAAAAAAAAUUUUUUUUUUUCACAUAUAACAUUUUUUAAUCAUAAUUUUAAGUAAGGUGCAUUUCCAGACUUACUGGAUGUCAGAGAUAUUUUUGUUAAAGCCUUGGGACAGCAAGCACUGCCCACAAGUUAUGGAAACUGUCUGCCGUAAUUCCUAAUGGCAAAGCUGGACCUCGUUGUUAGACCCGUCAGCCACAUCACACUUGAUGUUAGAAAACGUCCAGCUCUGUUGUUUGGUUCAAAUGAGCGUGGUAAACAGGCAUCCCUCUGUCGGCUUCCUUGUUUCCUAACUCUAAUCCUGAAAGAAACAGAUGGGAGCAUAAGAGGCAAGCUUGGCAAAAUAAGGCCAGCUCCCUUCUCGGUGUCCCUCCUCGGGGCUUCCCUCCCAGGAGUCAGCAUUCCUGAGUUGUCCCUUUGACUGGUGGCUUUUACCAGGGCAAAGUCGGGAGGGUGGCCCUUUCCUUGGGGAGGUGUUAGGAGGACCACCAGGAGGAGAACUGGUGGCUCAGAAGGUUCCCAGUGGCAGGAAAGACUUCGCGUGGAAGGGGAGGUUUUGGAACUCGAUUCCCUGAAAGCCGAUCAGGCCAGGACAUCCCUGAGUUUCCCAAAUGGAUCUUGGUGGGAAGACCUGGAGAUGCUGCCCAGAGUUUUGCGCUGAGAACAUUACAUUGCUCGCCCUCAAGCCUGCGGAUCUUUGGGAAUAUUUGGUGGAGCUGGGACAGAGCCUCUUCUUCCUGUGGGUUUCCUGGUGACAACCCUGGACCUUGUCCUGUAUUUCUUCCUGUCCCUCACUCUCGGUGAGAUAGCAGGGGCAGAGAGGAAAACUGAGGCCCGGAUCCAGCCCAUGUCCCCCACCAAGAAAACUGGCUGGCUUUCCGCUGGGGAGGUAUCCCAAGGCAAAAAAGCCUUGGGGACUUAUGAGAGUUGGUCUUCAGAGGCCAUCUCCUGUCUCAAUGCAACUCGCUCAUCCUCAGCAUCUCUGUCUGUGAAAUGGGUUGAUGUGGCAGGCAUCUAGCGCCAGGGUUCACAGGCUUUGAGGUUGGGCAGACCUGGGUUUGAAUCCUGGCGCUGCUGCUCAAGAGCUACAUGACCUUGAGCGAGGGCCUUUCUUCUCUAUACCUGUCUCCACGUCGGUGAGUGGGAACUCACAGGUGCUUGAGGGGAUACAGGAGACAAUGGCUGUGUAGUGUCGGACCCACGCAGCAUGAGCAGGAAAUACUCUUGCUCUUGUUACACUUGUUUCUUUUUUUUUUUUUUCUUCCUUUCUUUUUUUUUUUUUGGUCUUUUUGCCAUUUCUUGGGCCGCUCCCGCGGCAUACGGAGGUUUCCAGGCUAGGGGUCCAAUCGGAGCUGUAGCCACCAGCCUACACCAGAGCCACAGCAACAUGGGAUCUGAGCCGCAUCUGCAACCUACACCACAGCUCACGGCAAUGCCGGAUCCUCAACCCACUGAGCAAGGGCAGGGAUCGAACUUGCAACCUCAUGGUUCCUAGUCGGAUUCGUUAACCACUGAGCCACGAUGGGAACUCCUGUUACACUUGUUUCUUAUUUCCCAGAGAAAUGAUGGAAAAGACCAAGUGAAGUGAGGGCCUAGCUGAGACCCUCCAAGGGUGGGGCUCUGCUGGCUCAUGGCCUUGCCCCUUCCCAGGAUGACAACACAUGCAAAGAGGCACUUUCAUGGGUGUCAAGUGAUGAAGAGCAGAGCAGGCCGGGAGGCUCUCACCACUGUCCCCCGAGCCCCUGCCACCCUCUGGGCCCAUUAUUGGCCUCUUGCCUUCUUGCUGCCCCCUCCUGCUUCCCACAUUUCCUUGCAGCCUGGUGGCUGGGGUCUGUCUCGUGGGGACCUGUUGGGACCCUUGCCGCCCAGCCUCCUCUCUUGGAAAGUUGCUCUGGCUCAGUUUGUCCAGGGCCUCUCCCAGCAGGUGUUUUAGAAACAGAGUCUAUGCCUUCCCCUUAGGAAUUCUGCCAUCUUCUCUUACAAACUUUCAACUGGAAGUUACUCCCUCCUCCCUCUCCUCUGCCUCCGAGAAGUAACUACUGAAACAAAGCAACCUCCAGUCUACCUUGGGAUGCAGCCGUUUCAAGGAAGCCCUUUGUCGAGCAACGAAUCCUUUUGUCAAGGGAAUAAUGACUUCCUCUGGAUUUCCAUGUGGGGUUUUGGGGGUUGUUGGCUCAGGGUCUUUCUCAAGAGUGGGGCCCAGACUAAUUUGUAGGCUCAGGGGGGUGGUGAGGCCGCCGCCUCCCUCUCUACCAACUGAAAGGGCUCCUGGUUUGGCUGCAAGAUCUUCUGAUUACCUUUAAUCCUGCCAAUGUCUUCCUGUCAGGGCGCUGGCCCGCCAGCAUCCAUCACGCUGGCCCGGAAGGUGGUGAUGGUUUGUGUUUCUUGCUCUGUUUUGUUCCUUUGCUUCGCCGAUUGCAUCUCCAUGGAAACAGCCUCAGCCUUUGUGUUGCCUUUGCUUUGGGCAAAUCGAUGCCGACUGGGGAUUUUUCUUUUCUCUCCAUCUCUUUGGGAUCAAAGGGGAAGGUGGGGACAGCGCAGGAGGACUUGCAGUGGCCUGGAGCUCCUGGGGUGGGGGAGCCACGGUCCGUCCUCCAGCUGCGGACCCACCUGCCUGGCUUGGCCUGCGUGGUGGCCCCUCCUGAGUCACGAGGCCCCAGAGUAGGGUAGAAUGGGGUGAGCCUGCAGUGGAGUGGCCCCCUCCACCCACUGUUCCUGCAAAGGCAGCUGCUCGCCGCUUGGGGCGGGAGGCGGGUUGGGAAAGCUGGCACCUGCUAAUUCUCUGGAGGAACUUUGGGCGAGGUCUUUAAGCUUUCCAGGCCUGGGUUUUCCUGGGUUUUGAACCUCUGUGACCCCUUUGACUUAAGGAAGCCCCACAUCUGGGUAAACUGCAACGUUAUUGUGAUAUGAUUGUUCUGCGGUGAAUAGUAAAUCCUGAGUUUGACUCAUUGCCUGGUUUGAAAUGCAACUUAAGAAUGAGGAGCUUGGAAUUCCCUUGUGGCUCAGUGGAAAGGAAUCCGACUAGUAUCCAUGUGAUGUGGGUUCAAUCCCUGGCCUCGCUCAGUGGGUUAAGGAUCUGGCUUUGCUGUGAGCCGUGGUAUAGGUCACAGAUGCAGCUCGGAUCUGGCAUGGCUGUGGCUGUGGUGUAGGCCAGCAGCUGCAGCUCCAAUCUGACCCCUACCCUGGGAACCUCCAUAUGCUGCGGGUGU
rnacentral:lncRNA from 1 species